GUGCUUGGAAGCAGUUUUUUAAAAAGCAGUAAAUUAACAAAAGAAGAAUUGGGCCCCAAAAUUAAAAAGUUUGGGUCUGCAUAAAGCAACUUUGUUUAAAGCCAAUUGCCCCCCGUUAAAAUUGGGGGGGAAAAAAAGAGCAAAAAAGAAAAAGGAUUGAGUCAAAGAUUUGAAGACAGCUUUUAAGGCUUGUCCACCCUGGAAUUUUUGUUAAGUCUGGCUGAGCAUGCAGGGAAAACCCCGAGUGCACUGCUACCGCUGCCAGUUGCCUCCCUGUAGGGAGGCCGGGCGCCCCCAGCUCCCCCAACAGUUGCACAUUUGGACACCAAUGGCUGCAUCGACGCGGUGCCUUUUCAGGCCCUUCCCUUGGACCAGCCCGUGUACCUGUUCCAGAUCGGUGAUCAGGUCCUCGUUAAGAAGUGGAAGCGUGACCCCCUUACACCACGGUGGGACGGCCUGCACACUGUCUCGCUCAUCAGCCAAGCUGCAGUCAAAGUUCUUGGGAGUGACAAAUGGACACACCAUACGCGGGUAAAGCGGUUUCUGAACCCUAACCUGGAAACUGAGUCAGCAGAAGAGGACAUCAGCCCUCUGCCCCCCCCGGCUCCGGAUGCCCGGGGUGGCACAGGUGAAGACUACACCUGGGAGUAUCAGUACUUGGACGGACUAAAGGGACUGUUUAGAAAAAGAUAAUGAAAUUAUUGUUAAUAUCUUUGUUUAUGUGCUUCCACCACUAUUAUGGUUGGGAAAAUAGGUUUUUACAGCUGGGGGAGACAAUAGCAAAAUCCAUUAACCUCAGUAACUGUUGGGUAUGCGGAGGCCCAGGGGAAUUAAAUGAAUGGCCUUGGGUAGCCCAGCCUGUACAGCCCAAAUGGUGGCUCAGCAAUUUGAGUAUAGUCCACGAUGGAACGGGGGUUUGGACUGAGGAUAGUAGCCCCUGGCGACUGUAUUCUUCUGGAAAGGGUAUUCUCUGCCUUAAUUGGACAAGGCGGGAGGGAGUGUACUUGGGAGAAAGCAAGUGUGAUUGGACUCUAUCCCCAGGGUUUGAUUGCUGGGACCCUUAUUGUCAUCUGUAUGACUGUUCUAAAUAUCAGGGGCAAUGGAACCAGACCCAUGUGAGGCUCACCAAUAAUAGUUGGGUGAAAUGCUCCAAACAAUACUACCCUACGGCCGAAGGUUGCAGGGCAGUAGGACAGGAUGGGUUCUUUGACGCCCUAUUCACGAGUUGCCAGGUAGACAAUACCACUAGCAAGGACCACGUGGUACGGUGGUUUCAAAUGGGCAUGGCAAAAUCAGAAUGGAACUCGAGUAUGGGGUUUUAAACAAUUCUGGUCUAGCACCAAUCAGCCAAAAUGGGGCUGCGAUUGUGUCUGGAAAGCAGGAGCUGGGGCGUGGAGAUGUGAUUAUUGCAGUUCAGCUGAUGGAAUGGUGGGGGGACCUUUAGGGCCAGGUAAUCCUUUAUAUUUUGACCAUCUAGAGGACGAUGAGAAUGAGGAAACCUGGGAUGGCCCCUUUGCUAAUGGAACCUGGGCUCUAAAGGGCCAUUAUUGGAUCUGCGGGUCCUAUGCCUACUGAAGAUUGCCUCCAAAUUGGUCUGGGAUAUGUUAUGUUGGAUAUAUAAGACCCUUGUUCUUUCUAUUACCCCAGAUGCAGGGAAAUAAAUUGGGAAUUAAGGUUUAAUUAGAGAAAGGCGGUUCGUGGAUUCCACCCUGACCGCCGGAAGCUCCCAAACAUGGGGGGCUCAGGAGUGGCCCCCUGAGAGAAUUAUAAAACAUUAUGGUCCAGCUACAUGGAAUCCUAAUGAGUGGAUCUCGGGGGCAAGGGAGCCCAUUUACAACUUGAAUCGGAUAAUUAGGCUGCAAGCCAUUUUAGAAAUAAUAACUAAUCAGACGGCUGCAGCUCUUGAUCUUUUGGCCGAUCAGUCCACUCAGAUGAGAAAUGUGCUUUACCAGCACCAUCUAGUUCUUGAUUAUUUGCUGGCAGAGGAAGGGGGAAUCUGUGCAAAAUUAAACGAAUCUAAUUGCUGUUUACAAAUAGAUGAUAAUGGAAAGGCGGUAAAACAGCUAACAAAAGAAAUGAGGAAGCUAGCCCAUGUCCCGGUCCAAACAUGGGGUGGGUGGAAUAUGGACUGGUUCACGUCCUGGUUACCGCAACUGGGAUGGCUCCGAGAAGGCCUUCUUCUCUUUGUACUCUUUAUUACAACCCUAUUAACCCUAGCUUGCUUUGCUCCCUGUGUAGUUGCAUUAGUCUGACGAAUGGCUAAUCAAAUUAUACACCAACAAAUGAUGGCACUAUACCAGCCGGUGAAGGCUGAGGAUUGGGGGCCAUAAGGCUCUCAAAAUGCUUUUUAGGGGGGAAUCUUGUUAGGCCCAAGAACCGAAAAACAUGUUUAUCUCGGCUUCUGCUUGUUAUCCCAGUAAACAUGCUUAUCUCAGUUCUCACUGUCGUUUCCCAUGCAUGAAGCUGCACGUAUACGGGAUGUAUAGAAGAUAUAUGGAAAAGGGGAGGGGGUUGGACGGACCCUGGGAAAGGAAUGUGAAGGACGGGAAGCUAAACAGAUGUAUCCUGAUUACUACUAGAACUGAGUUUAAACAAUGCAUAGGUUAGCAGAAUUUAGACACGCUAAGUUGUUUGUCUCUCUGUAUAAAAGAAGCCCAGUUGUGCUUGUAAGGUGUGUUCCUCCCUCUGGCAUGAGUCGAGGGGGACACCCGCUCAGCUGACUGAUCAAUAAAGAACUUGAAGCCAU